UUAAUUGAAACCAAAAAGAGGUUUACCACUGUUAAUGAUAAAAUUGAAUAAAAUAAAUUCCAAUUAAA
rnacentral:tRNA from 1 species